GGGGGUGUAACUCAGUUGGUCUAGAGUGCCUGUCUGUCGAACAGGAAGCCGUGGGUUCAAAUCCCAUCAUCCCCG
rnacentral:tRNA from 1 species